UACGAAGGAGGCUAGCGUUGUUCGGAAUUACUGGGCGUAAAGCGCGCGCAGGCGGUUUCUCAAGUCAGUGGUGAAAGCCCGGAGCUCAACUCCGGAACUGCCAUUGAAACUGUGAAACUUGAGGACGAGAGAGGUGAGUGGAAUUCCCAGUGUAGAGGUGAAAUUCGUAGAUAUUGGGAAGAACACCGGUGGCGAAGGCGGCUCACUGGCUCGUUUCUGACGCUCAGGCGCGACAGCGUGGGGAUCAAACAGG
rnacentral:rRNA from 1 species